UGGGGAAUAUUGGACAAUGGGCGAAAGCCUGAUCCAGCCAUGCCGCGUGAGUGAUGAAGGCCUUCGGGUCGUAAAGCUCUGUGGGGAGGGACGAAAGGCCCUUGGGUUAAUACCCUGAGGGAGUGACGGUACCUCCUUAGCAAGCACCGGCUAACUCCGUGCCAGCAGCCGCGGUAAUACGGAGGGUGCAAACGUUGCUCGGAAUUAUUGGGCGUAAAGCGCACGUAGGCGGUUCGUUAAGUUGGAUGUGAAAGCCCUGGGCUCAACCCAGGAAGAGCAUACAAAACUGGCGAGCUUGAGUACAGAAGAGGGUCUCGGAAUUCCCGGUGUAGAGGUGAAAUUCGUAGAUAUCGGGAGGAACACCAGUGGCGAAGGCGGAGACCUGGGCUGAUACUGACGCUGAGGUGCGAAAGCGUGGGGAGCAAACAG
rnacentral:rRNA from 1 species